AGGGCAUUUGGUGGAUGCCUUGGCGCAUACAGGCGAUGAAGGACGUGGCACGCUGCGAUAAGCGUCGGUGAGGUGUGAGCAACCUUUGACCCGACGAUUUCCGAAUGGGGAAACCCACCUAAUCCGAUUAUCUUGGUCGUCAGUGAUGACGGUCAGGGUAAUUGGAAAAAGGUAUCACUUAGCUGAAUAAAAUAGGCUUCGUGAAGCGAACCCGGCGAACUGAAACAUCUCAGUAACCGGAGGAAAAGACAUCAACCGAGAUUCCGUUAGUAGUGGCGAGCGAACGCGGACCAGGCCAGUGCUUCUAAUUCAACUAGCAGAACGUUCUGGAAAGGACGGCCAUAGCGGGUGACAGCCCCGUAUGCGAAAGUGAUGUUAGAAGACUCGAGUAGGGCGGGACACGUGUAAUCCUGUCUGAACAUGGGGGGACCACCCUCCAAGCCUAAAUACUCGUAUGCGACCGAUAGCGAACUAGUACCGUGAGGGAAAGGUGAAAAGCACCCCGAUGAGGGGAGUGAAACAGUACCUGAAACCGAAUGCCUACAAGCAGUUGGAGCCUCUUUAUGGGGUGACAGCGUACCUCUUGCAUAAUGGGUCUGUGACUUAAUGUACCAAGCAAGCUUAAGCCGAUAGGUGUAGGCGCAGCGAAAGCGAGUCUGAAUAGGGCGAAUGAGUUUGGUGUAUUAGACCCGAAACCCGGCGAUCUAGGCAUGACCAGGAUGAAGGUGCGGUAACACGCACUGGAGGUCCGAACCGAUUAACGUUGAAAAGUUACCGGAUGAGUUGUGUUUAGGGGUGAAAGGCCAAUCAAGCCGGGAAAUAGCUGGUUCUCCGCGAAAACUAUUGAGGUAGUGCCUCGGACGAACACCCUAGGGGGUAGAGCACUGGAUGGAUGCGGGGGUCGCGAGAUCUACCAAUUCUAACCAAACUCCGAAUACCUAGGAGUGAUAUCCGGGAGACAGACGGCGGGUGCUAAGGUCCGUCGUCAAAAGGGAAACAGCCCUGACCUACAGCUAAGGUCCCCAAGUCACGUCUAAGUGGGAAAGCAUGUGGGAAUCCCAAAACAACCAGGAGGUUGGCUUAGAAGCAGCCAUCCUUUAAAGAAAGCGUAACAGCUCACUGGUCUAAAUAAGGGUUCCUGCGGCGAAGAUGUAACGGGGCUCAAGACGUGCACCGAAGCUUAGGGUGUGAUCGUUUACGAUCACGCGGUAGCGGAGCGUUCCGUAAGCCUGUGAAGCGAUCUGGUAAUGGGUCGUGGAGGUAUCGGAAGUGCGAAUGCAGACAUGAGUAGCGAUAAAAAGGGUGAGAUGCCCUUUCGCCGAAAGACCAAGGGUUCCUGCGCAAGGCUAAUCCGCGCAGGGUGAGCCGGCCCCUAAGACGAGCCCGAAGGGGGUAGUCGAUGGGAACCACGUUAAUAUUCGUGGGCCUGGUGGUGUGUGACGGAUGGUGUGUGUUGUAUGCUCUUAUCGGAUUGAGCAUGCUUCGAAGCUGUCCCGGGAAAUAGCCCCACCGUAUAGACCGUACCCGAAACCGACACAGGUGGUCAGGUAGAGUAUACCAAGGCGCUUGAGAGAAGUGUCCUGAAGGAACUCGGCAAAUUGCCUCCGUACCUUCGGAAGAAGGAGGCCCUGCAUAUGCGCAAGCACUUGCAGGGGGCACAGGCCAGGGGGUAGCGACUGUUUAGCAAAAACACAGGGCUCUGCUAAGUCGGCUUCAAGACGACGUAUAGGGCCUGACGCCUGCCCGGUGCCUGAAGGUUAAGUGGAGGGGUGCAAGCUCCGAAAUGAAGCCCAGGUAAACGGCGGCCGUAACUAUAACGGUCCUAAGGUAGCGAAAUUCCUUGUCGGGUAAGUUCCGACCUGCACGAAUGGCGUAACGACUUCCCCACUGUCUCCAGGACAUGCUCAGCGAAAUUGAAUUCUCCGUGAAGAUGCGGAGUACCCGCGGUUAGACGGAAAGACCCCGUGCACCUUUACUGCAGCUUCAGAGUGGCAUUAGGAAAGAACUGUGUAGCAUAGGUGG
rnacentral:rRNA from 1 species